rnacentral:rRNA from 1 species
CCUACGGGAGGCAGCAGUGGGGAAUUUUGGACAAUGGGCGCAAGCCUGAUCCAGCAAUGCCGCGUGCAGGAUGAAGGCCUUCGGGUUGUAAACUGCUUUUGUACGGAACGAAACGGUGAGCCCUAAUACAGUUUGCUAAUGACGGUACCGUAAGAAUAAGCACCGGCUAACUACGUGCCAGCAGCCGCGGUAAUACGUAGGGUGCGAGCGUUAAUCGGAAUUACUGGGCGUAAAGCGUGCGCAGGCGGUGAUGUAAGACAGAUGUGAAAUCCCCGGGCUCAACCUGGGACCUGCAUUUGUGACUGCAUCGCUAGAGUACGGUAGAGGGGGAUGGAAUUCCGCGUGUAGCAGUGAAAUGCGUAGAUAUGCGGAGGAACACCGAUGGCGAAGGCAAUCCCCUGGACCUGUACUGACGCUCAUGCACGAAAGCGUGGGGAGCAAACAGGAUUAGAUACCCUGGUAGUCCACGCCCUAAACGAUGUCAACUGGUUGUUGGGUCUUCACUGACUCAGUAACGAAGCUAACGCGUGAAGUUGACCGCCUGGGGAGUACGGCCGCGAAGGUUGAAACUCAAAGGAAUUGACGG